rnacentral:rRNA from 1 species
AUGGCGUCCCUUCUUCUCCCUCCUCAAUUCGCCUGCUCCCUGCCGUAUUACUGCAUCAGGGGCCAGUUACAUUAUAAGCCCACCAUCUGGAGAAAGAAUGCGGCGAAGACUAAAAUCGGGUUGCUUCACCGAAAUGUGAGUUUUGUGUCAAAGAAGACUUCUCAAGAUGUAGAGGAAGGCUCAAGUGGUGAGGAUAGUGAUACUGAAACCCCAAAGGCCAAGAAAAAACCUGCAAAACGUGGAAGAAAGAAAGCCACCAUAGAUACAUCCGAUGGGGACACAAAAGAAGGCCAAAGUGACACUGAAGAUGCAUCCCCUAAAGAGCCUAAGAUAGUUAAAAAGAGAGGUCGGAAGAAAGCUGCUACUACUGCAUCCUCCGCGGAGGAGGCUGACAAGCCAAAAGAACCUAAGAAGAGGGGCAGAAGGAAAGUUAAGACGGCUGAACAAUUAAGUGACGAUGAAGGGGACGAUCAGAGCAAAGAUCUGAUGCCCUCUAAUGAAAUGGAAGUUCACAGUUCAGCCGGUGAUCUUGAAAGUAAAGUAGAGGCAUUGUUAUCACAGGAUAUUGAAGAGGUUGACAAAUUAAUGCCUCUUGUCUGCUGCUUUGGACCAGCCAAGUACUUAUUUAUUCCUUCUGGAAGACCUGCUAAAAGGUUGGUGGAUCGUGAGAUUCAUAGUAGGAUGAAGGAUAUGUUUUGGUCUCCUGAUGAAUUUGUGAGGGCACCUGGAGGGUCGUCAUCCAAUGUUGCCCUUGCUCUAGCAGCUCUUGGAGGCCGGGUUGUGUUCAUGGGAAAAUUAGGUGAUGAUGAGUAUGGUCAAAGUAUGCUGUAUCACUUAAAUGUCAACGGUGUUCAAACUCGAGCAGUUAGUUUGGAUCCUUCAGCGCCAACUGCCAUGUCCUUGAUGAAGGUGACCAACAGAGGUAGCUUGAACACAAGCUGUGUUAAACCAUGUGCGGAAGAUUGUUUUCAGCAAUCUGAUAUCAACCCAGAUGUUCUAAAAGAGGCUAAGAUGUUUUACUAUAAUUCGUCAGCUUUGCUAGAGCCGACUACACGGUCAUCAUUGUUAAAAGCAAUCGAGGUCUCCAAGAAAUUUGGCGGGAUAACAUUCUUUGAUCUUAAUCUUCCAAUGCCACUAUGGUCAUCUAGUAAGGAGACCAAAUCACUCAUCAAGGAGGCGUGGGAAGCUGCUGAUAUCAUCGAAGUCACAAAGCAGGAACUAGAGUUCCUCUGUGGUAUUAAACCAUCUGAGAAUUCUGACGCAAAAGACGAGAAAUCUGAAUUCGCACACUACAGCCCAGAAGUUGUUAUGAAGAUAUGGCAUGACAAUCUGAAGGUCCUCUUUGUGACCAACGGGACCUCAAAGAUACACUACUACACAGAAAAACACAAUGGCUCGGUUCGUGGGACGGAAGAUGCACCGAUUACUCCUUUCACCAGUGAAAUGUCACAAUCAGGAGACACAAUUGCUGCAGCCCUGAUGAAUAUGCUGUCGAUCAACCCUCACCUGGUGACGGACAAGGUCUACUUGCACAAGACAGCGAAGCACGCCAUCAAAUGCGGCGUCAUCGAUCAGUGGCUGGCCGCGCGGGAGCGGGGAUUCCUUCCCAGAGGAAUAGCAGAACCAAGCAGCGAACAUGAGGAAGCAAGAUUCAUCACGGAGAGGGAAUACCGUACCAUCCCAGACGCCAUGCAACCCGUGAACCCAUCGGGCAGCGAGCUCGCGCACGUGGAGUGA